rnacentral:rRNA from 1 species
UACAGAGGUCCCAAGCGUUGUUCGGAUUCAUUGGGCGUAAAGGGUGCGUAGGCGGCGCGGUAAGUCGGGUGUGAAAUCUCGGAGCUUAACUCCGAAACUGCAUUCGAUACUGCCGCGCUUGAGGACUGGAGAGGAGACUGGAAUUUACGGUGUAGCGGUGAAAUGCGUAGAUAUCGGGAGGAACACCAGUGGCGAAGGCGGCGAUCUGGGAAGAUACUGACGCUGAGGUGCGAAAGCGUGGGGAGCAAACAGG